AGCUGUGCAAGGAAGGGCAUUUUCACUUGGAGUCAGUGACUCCCUGGCUUCUUGUUGCUUUUCCUUGGUGUUAGUUUUUCUUGCCCUUGGGGAGGGACCAGAGGUAGAAGAAAGCGCUGAAGGGGCAGCAAAAGUAGAUGUAGAACAGCGAAAGGGUGGAAAGAAGGCAGUUGUGGAACCAACCAUGAUGGGGGAGUGUUUUGAAAUCAAACCACUGUUCUAAGAAGAAAACUUAAGCUCAGCAGAUCUACACAGCAGUCAAGCUCAGAGGUCAUUU
rnacentral:lncRNA from 1 species